GUAUCGGUCCUCUCGCAACGAUACCCUGUGAACCCCGCCAGGUCCGGAAGGGAGCAACGGUAACAGGGGAUUCGUGUGCCGGGAUGUGGCUGGUACGGUU
rnacentral:SRP_RNA from 1 species